GAUUUGUUGCCAGUGCACCACAACGGGAACUCCUGGUCUCAGCUUUUCUGCUCCUUACCUAAUUUCUCCUCCUCUCCCAAACCUUUAAUGUUCAAGUGACCCAGGGCUCUUUUCUAUCCCCAUCCCCUUCCCCAUUAUUCUCACUGAAUCCUAGGGCUCCCCAAACCUAUCCAGUCACUGAUGAUUCCUUUCCUGAACUCCAGACUCCUGUUUCCAACUCCUAGUCAGUGUAUCUCCUUGGUUAGGACAUCUCCACCUCAGCAUAUUCCAAAUAACACUCCUGAUCUGGUCCCCAACAAACUUGUUCCGUUCCCAGGUUUACCCAUCUUGGUAAAUUAGAGACUUAUCUUUCUAAUUGCUUAGGCCAAAAACUUGAGUCAUCCUUGACAAUUUACUUUCUCUUGUACCUCACCUGAUCUGUUAGCAAAUCCUGUGGAAUCUCUGAAAUAUACCCAGAAUCUGUACCUUUCUUCACACAUUUGCUGCUGUCGCACCAAUCCAAGCCACUGUUCUCUCUCACUUUGCUUCCCUAGAGGGUAUUCUCUGCACAGUAAUCUGAGUGAUCCCAUCAGAUAAUAUUACUUCUUACCUCAAACCCUCCAGCAGCUCCCAUCUUAUCCUGGGUAAAAGCCAAAGUCCUUAUAAUAAUGAUCUCUACGGCCCUGCACAUCUGGCCACAUGCUGCCUUUUCAACAUCGAACACUAAACUCACUAUUCCAGUAGUUCUCCAGACAUGAAGCAGCCCCAGGACCUUUUCACCUGCUGUUCUGUCUGUGGAGUACUCUUCCUCUAAAAGUCACUCCUCACCUCCUUCAAGAGUUUGCUCAAAUGUCACCUCAGUGAAGCCUACCCUAUAUCCUGUCCAAAAUUGCGAAACAUUUCUCCCCAUAGCACUUUCAUCAUCUAACAUACAUGGUGCUAACCAAGGGUGAGGGAACUCUAGAAUGGACAGUAGAAGACAGAGACCUGUAUCAUUUGCUGCCUCCAGAUCAGCUGCUGUGCUGGGGGCUGUGGCUUGUACCACAUCCAGCGCUGCAGCUGCCGUGGGCACUGCAGGUUGAUGGAGCUUGGGAUACUCUGCUGACAUGCUCCAGGAUCUAAUUUUUAGAGGCCAGACUGAUGAAUUAAAUGGGAAUUGAUCUUCUUCCUUUAGGUCUUUUAAGGUACUAUUUUCUGCUUUUUGCCUCAGGAUAUUUAAAAUUUGCAGUCUUGCUCAGAGGAGAAAUGUAUGGGCAGUUUCAGAGGCUCUCACUGGUCCGUCCCUACUUUUUAUUCACAGGCCAAGGGACCAAUGUGGAUAUGUGGGUGUUCUGGCAACUUGCAAGUAUUAUCUCUUUCAAUUACACAUUCAGGGACUGGGGACAUAACCACAGGGUUAGUCUCUGGACCAAGCGGACCUACUGAAGUAGGCCUGGGCUAGAAGUCCAUCUCUUACCUGGCUGUCAUCCAUAUUCACUCUACUAGGGACCAUGAUUUAUAUCACGCUGGAUAUCAUUGUCAUCUCAGACCUUGUGUUCAGCAGUUGUCAAAAUACUGGACUAUUUCCUUUCCCCAGGGUAUAGGUUACCCAAGUAAAUAUCUGCCAGUCCCUUUGUAGAAGGACUGGGGUAUCCUUGUCAUAUAGGCUUGCCAAGGUGUUGCAGGGUGCAUCUUCCUGAGGCUCUGGCCUUUCCUUCAGUUAGUGGGUUCCAAGUCUAAAGAUUAGUUUAGGUCCAGAAGCUCAUCAAAGAAUGCUGACUUUUUAUUGGCACAACUGCCGUUAGUCUCUUCACGAUCCUUCCUCUUGAUCCGUGCAUCAGAAUCACUCAGAAGGCUGUGUUAAACUACAGAUUGCUCAUCCACUCAGCCAGAGUUUCUGAGUAGGUCUGGGCUGGGGCCUGAGAAUUGGUGCCUCUCACAAUUUUCCAGAUGAUGCUGAUGCUGCUGGUCAGAGACCACACUUUGAAAACACUGUACAGAUCAAUCUGGGGACUCCCCAUGAGCUCCAGCCAUUUUCCCAACCUUCUGUGCUUCAGUCACCCCCUGCUGCUCUAACCUGCUGUUCAGUGAGCAGUUUGCCCCCACCUUGCUUCGGACAGUUAAACAUUGUCACCUGGCCUCUAGGGCUCUAGGAUCUUCCCUCUCCGUGUGAAUCAAUCGUUGGAUGUAGGCUGCCCCCAGGGAGAGGACCUGUCCUUGUGCCAGGGCUCUGGGCAAUGGGGACUGGCCGGGAGCUCUCAGCUGUCAGCACUAAACAACUGGGAAAAUUGGGUGUAUGGGGCUUGAAGGGAAAAUGUGGGUGGUGCUUUUCUGACCCUACCAUGAAUCUACCAGCAUCAGCCUCACAGCCAGGACUGGGGUGACAGGAGUGAGAUUUGCCUCAGGUACAAAAUUUAAGGGGACACCAAAAGAUUAAAUAAUCAAGGUAAACAUUUUGAAGCCACAUUUCAAAAAGCAAAAUGCAAAAAAAUUCCAUGAUAAGCAAAAUUUCAGAUUUUUAAAUAAAGGCAGGAUCAGUGUUAUGGAUCUUUCUGUUUCCCUUGCAAUCUGUCUACACCCACUGGAAGUUAAGUUCUGAGAGGGCCAGGGUUUCUGUUUGCCUUACUCACUGAUGUACCCCCAAUUCUUAGAGGAGUUCCUGGCACAUACUAGAUGCUCAGUUAAUCUUUGUUGAAUGAGACAUUUAAGACCUGUAAGGGAAGCAUGACCAUUUGUCUACACUUGCCCAUUUCUCCCUCUUCUCCCAGUAUUUCUCAGUUAGUACCGACUAGACAAAAGAGGCUUCUUCAUCUUGGAGCCAGGAGAAUUGGAGGGAGCUUUGUGCCAUGGAGGGAAAGCACCUGACAAAAAUAGCACAUAUUUUAUUGUUAAUGUCAAUUGUGAAGUGUGUUUAAAAGUAUUUCUUUAGUGAUUUCAUCAUCAGAUUUAAAGGAUAGAUGCAAUGCAUGUCAUUAUACUAACUAACCACAGCUAUUAGUUGUCAUCUUGUAUAAUUAUGAGAAACAGCUGUCAGAACUGCUCCUAAAAAGCUGCCCUGCCCCCAAGGAUUAGAUGGAUUUAGGAUUCCAGGACCAAAAGCAGAAGAGCAGAUCUUCAUGCAAGUGGCAAGUGUCAUGGUCAGCAGGUUCCUGUCCUCCCCUGCUUUUUAUCUCCAUGAGACAUCUGAUUAUUCCACCAGGAGCACCAAGGUUUAUGUUUCAACCAGGAAUGGCUGAAAUGGCAGACCUUUUGCACAUGACACUGGAAGAAGAUGUGACCAGAACUGCAGGGCACUAGCUCUGCUAAGAACCCUGAUUGACCAGGAAGAAAAAAAAUUAAGUCUGAAUCAUGUCCCUCAAGAGCUUGGCACACACGUGAUUUCAAUACAGUCCGUGUUCUGGAGGAAAGACGGGACUCUUGGAGCUUCAGUAAGGAACACAAAGGCCUUUGACUGCAAGGAACUCAGUCUACUGGGAGAGAUGGAUACAUCAACAGAAUCAUCGAAAUGCCUUUCCUUUAAAGCAAAGACCAUUCAGAAUCAAAGGCUCAUUUCCUGGAAAUACAGGGCUGGACGGCAGCCAUCCCUCAAAUGAGGCCCCAUGGAGAAGACUUGGAAAUGCACGCUCCCAACUCAGGUUUCCAGUGGAUGCAUAUUAAACCCCAAGGACUGGAAGCUGAGGUCAUGGAUUGCUUUCUCAUUGCUGUCAAGGGUCAGUUCAUCUUAUACUUCCUGUCAUUGUCGUCUUAGAUCAUGCAUGACUCAAUCCUUCUCAGCCCAUUUCCGCACACAGAUUUCUAAAUCUGUGGUGAAAAAAAGUCCAUUAAUAUCUCUACAUUCAAAAAGAGAUGCUAAUGAGAAGAGGGAGGAGGACCCGCUAUGGAUUGGUAGUAAUAGGGGUCAAAUAAAAUAGGGCAGCAAAUCAGGAAAUGGGGUAGUAGCAGUCAUUUGAGGAAGUUAAGCAGACUGGCCAACAUCCACUUAAACGAUUUCUGUUUUCCCUUGAAACUUCAUUUGUGUAACUGAGGUGGCAGAGGGUUGUGGGGGGAGGAACAUGAGCUUUGCUACCAGAUUAAUACAAAUGGAAAUCCUUCCUCCAUUACCAGGCUCUGUGAAUUGGACAAGUUUCUUAACCCUUCUCAGCCUCAGGUCAGGGAGCAUUCCAAACUUUCAAAACUGUGGCAAGAAGCCCAGAUCACGGAUUGAGAAGUGGUUGGUACACAGAGGCACCCACUACACUGAAGAACUCAGAGUGCGCCCAGCCAUGCACUGGCCUGGUACUCACUUCGAUGGGGGCAAGGAAGGAGUCAAGACAGCCAGGAGGCUAGCAGGACCCCGGCGAGAGCAACAUUAAACUCUCAUUAGCUACUUAAUUUGAUUUUGUUGUCCUUAUCAUACCUUCACUAUCAUUUCCCCCAGCUUCAGGUCAAAUGAUGACCCAAAGAGAUGACCAGAUAAAAUAAUGUCAAUAAUUGUGAGGAGUUCCUGCUGUGAUGCAGCAGGUUAAGAUCUGGUGUUGCCGUAGCAGCAGCUCAGAUUCAGUCCCUGGCCCUGGAACUUCCAUACCAAAAAAAAAAA
rnacentral:lncRNA from 1 species